GGUUCUUGCUGCAAACCAUGGUGAGAAAGAAGGUUCUAAAGGCAUUCUGGCGCUCGAUUUUCGAGGCUACUCGACAGAUAAGUCGAAAACUGGAUGAUGGCUAGCAGCAGGGCUCAUCUUAGGAACUGAACUAGCUGAAAGAAUGUGUUAUGGGAAUAUCUAUGAACUUGGUGACAUACUUGGUUGGAACUUUGAAUCUUCCAUCAGCUAAAUUUGCUACAAUAUUGACCAAUUUUUUGGGAACUCUCAACCUUCUUGGCCUCCUUGGUGGCUUCUUAACUGAUGUUGGCAUUCAAAAUUUAUAUGAUGCUAUAAGAACAAUACACUGAGUUUAUAUUUUAAAUUAUAGUUGAUGUAUCAACACAUUUUGUUGAUGUAUAGUUGUUAUUUAUUAUUAUAGUUAACGUAUCAAUACACUUUGUUUAUUUUUUG